rnacentral:rRNA from 1 species
GCUGUGGAACUCCUACGGGAGGCAGCAGCGGGGAAUCUUGCGCAAUGGGCGAAAGCCUGACGCAGCCAUGCCGCGUGAAUGAUGAAGGUCUUAGGAUUGUAAAGUUCUUUCACCGGGGACGAUAAUGACGGUACCCGGAGAAGAAGCCCCGGCUAACUUCGUGCCAGCAGCCGCGGUAAUACGAAGGGGGCUAGCGUUGCUCGGAAUUACUGGGCGUAAAGGGCGCGUAGGCGGAUCGUUAAGUCAGAGGUGAAAUCCCAGGGCUCAACCCUGGAACUGCCUUUGAUACUGGCGUUCUUGAGUAUGAGGGAGGUAGGUGGAACUCCGAGUGUAGAGGUGAAAUUCGUAGAUAUUCGGAAGAACACCAGUGGCGAAGGCGACAUACUGGCUCAUUACUGACGCUGAGGCGCGAAAGCGUGGGGAGCAAACAGGAUUAGAUACCCCAGUAGUCCUACCACGU